rnacentral:tRNA from 1 species
GCCCCGGUGGCGAAACCGGUAGACGCAAGGGACUUAAAAUCCCUCGGCCACAAGCCAUGCCGGUUCGAGUCCGGCCCGGGGCA